rnacentral:rRNA from 1 species
UGGGGAAUAUUGCACAAUGGGCGCAAGCCUGAUGCAGCCAUGCCGCGUGUAUGAAGAAGGCCUUCGGGUUGUAAAGUACUUUCAGCGGGGAGGAAGGCGUUGUGGUUAAUAACCACAGCGAUUGACGUUACCCGCAGAAGAAGCACCGGCUAACUCCGUGCCAGCAGCCGCGGUAAUACGGAGGGUGCAAGCGUUAAUCGGAAUUACUGGGCGUAAAGCGCACGCAGGCGGUAUGUUAAGUCAGAUGUGAAAUCCCCGGGCUCAACCUGGGAACUGCAUUUGAAACUGGCAGGCUUGAGUCUCGUAGAGGGGGGUAGAAUUCCAGGUGUAGCGGUGAAAUGCGUAGAGAUCUGGAGGAAUACCGGUGGCGAAGGCGGCCCCCUGGACGAAGACUGACGCUCAGGUGCGAAAGCGUGGGGAGCAAACA